rnacentral:rRNA from 1 species
GCCUAACACAUGCAAGUCGAACGAAGGCUUCGGCCUAUAGAGGCGCACGGGUGCGUAACGCGUGGGAAUCUGCCCUUGGGUUCGGAAUAACAGCGAGAAAUUGCUGCUAAUACCGGAUGAUGACGUAAGUCCAAAGAUUUAUCGCCCAAGGAUGAGCCCGCGUAGGAUUAGCUAGUUGGUGUGGUAAAGGCGCACCAAGGCGACGAUCCUUAGCUGGUCUGAGAGGAUGAUCAGCCACACUGGGACUGAGACACGGCCCAGACUCCUACGGGAGGCAGCAGUGGGGAAUAUUGGACAAUGGGCGCAAGCCUGAUCCAGCCAUGCCGCGUGAGUGAUGAAGGCCUUAGGGUUGUAAAGCUCUUUUACCCGGGAUGAUAAUGACAGUACCGGGAGAAUAAGCUCCGGCUAACUCCGUGCCAGCAGCCGCGGUAAU